rnacentral:rRNA from 1 species
UAGGGAAUCUUCCGCAAUGGACGAAAGUCUGACGGAGCAACGCCGCGUGAGUGAUGAAGGCCUUAGGGUUGUAAAACUCUUUUCAGGGAUCUUAAAGCCUGUCUGUCAACAACAGGCAGAUCUGACUCUCCCUGGAAGAAGCCCCAGCCAACUACGUGCCAGCAGCUGCGGUAAUACGUAGGGGGCGAGCGUUAUUCGGAAUUACUGGGUGUAAAGGGUAUGUAGGCGGCCCUUCAAGUCGCGUGUCAAAGUCCAGUGCUCAACGCUGGGUGUGCACGCGAUACUGACGGGCUUGAGGGCUGGAGAGGUGAGCGGAAUUCCCGGUGUAGUGGUAAAAUACGUAGAGAUCGGGAGGAACACCAGCGGCGCAGGCGGCUCACUAGACAGUUUCUGACGCUAAGAUACGAAAGCGUGGGGAGCAAACA